AAAAUCAGAAUCAGCAGUUAAAGGAGCUCGGAUAAGUAAAGAACCUGAUGAAGAUUGGGUGUCUUCUGCUGCAGAAAAAGAGGCAUGGGGCUUUGAGUCCAUGGACUUUACCUCAAAUAAAAAAUGGAUCCCAAGAGAUAACCAAUCAAAAAAAAUCCAUGGGAGCCUUUAAUUUCUUUCCCUUCUUUAUUAUCUUGGGUUGUCUUAAUAUACGAUCAGGUGGUGGAUUUUAGGGCAAGGCACGGCUUUGUCUUUAUGUUCUUG
rnacentral:lncRNA from 1 species